rnacentral:misc_RNA from 1 species
AAAAGGUUAUUGCUCUGGUUGCUGAGGUCAAUACUCUGCAGAAAGACAAGGAACAUUUGAGGACAAACCUCCAUAAAGCAGAAGACGAGGUGAACGUAUUGUUUGAUCAAAACAAUGUUUUGGAUGAGGCCAAUAAAAGGCUGAUAAGGCUGUACCAGAAAGAGAAACACACACCUGGUUCUGGUGGAAAACCUUCUUCCGGCAAGGGCAACAAAAGGAAAUCAAGCCCCAAGAUAAGCAGUCCAGUGGAGGGAAAACUUGAUUUCAG